UUAAGCUAUAAAGAGCGCACGGCGGAUGCCUUGGCGUCAGAUGCCGAUGAAGGACGUGGCAAGCUGCGAUAAGCUACGGUGAGCUGCAAGCAAGCGUUGAACCGUAGAUUUCCGAAUGGGGCAACCCACCAGAUUCGUCUGGUACUGUUACAUGAAUACAUAGUGUAGCAGAGGGAACCCGGGGAACUGAAACAUCUAAGUACCCGGAGGAGAAGAAAACAACAGUGAUUUCCCUAGUAGCGGCGAGCGAAGGGGAAAGAGCCUAAACCAUUUUGGUGUAAGCGUACGGGCGUUGCCAAGAUGGGGUUGCGGGAGUUACCAGCUGAGACCGUAUAUCAGCAAGGGACACGAAAGUUAACAGAACUGUCUGGAAAGGCAGGCCACAGAGAGUGAAAGCCUCGUAUGUGAAAACUGUAAGUACCCUGGUGACCACCCAAGUACUAUGGGACACGAGCAAUCCCAUAGGAAGCUGGGAAGACCACUUUCCAAGGCUAAAUACACACUGACGACCGAUAGCGCAUAGUACCGUGAGGGAAAGGUGAAAAGCACCCCGGGAGGGGAGUGAAAUAGAACCUGAAACCGUGUGCUUACAAACAGUUGGAGGGCGUUAAAGCCUGACAGCGUACUUUUUGUAGAACGGACCGGCGAGUUUUUAUAUGCAGCGAGGUUAAGGCGUUAAGCGCCGCAGCCGUAGCGAAAGCGAGUCUUAAUAGGGCAGAAGUUGCAUAUAGAAGACCCGAAACCGGGUGAGCUACCCAUGGCCAGGGUGAAACGCGAGUAAAACCGCGUGGAGGCCCGAACCUUUUAGCGUUGAAAAGCUAUAGGAUGAGCUGUGGGUUGGAGUGAAAAGCUAAUCGAACUCGGAUAUAGCUGGUUCUCCCCGAAAUAGCUUUAGGGCUAGCCUCAAAGUAAAUAAUACCGGAGGUAGAGCACUGAUCGGGCUAAGGGCCUGACGGUUACUGAACCCUUUCAAACUCCGAAUGCCGGUAUGAAUCUUUGGGAGUCAGUCUAUGUGGGAUAAGCCGUAUAGACAAAAGGGAAACAGCCCAGACCGUCGGUUAAGGUCCCUAAAUCCAAGCUAAGUGGUAAAGGAAGUGGAAUCGCAUAGACAACCAGGAUGUUGGCUUAGAAGCAGCCACACAUUUAAAGAGUGCGUAAUAGCUCACUGGUCGAGUGGUCCCGCGCCGAAAAUGUAACGGGGCUCAAGCUUGGUACCGAAACCACGGAAUCUCUAGGGAUUGGUAGGGGAGCGUUGUCUGCGCAUAGAAGCCGUACCGUAAGGAGCGGUGGAGUGCAGAGAAGUGAGAAUGCCGGUAUGAGUAGCGAAAAGAAGGGUGAGAAUCCCUUCCGCCGAAAGCCUAAGGUUUCCUGAGGAAGGAUCGUCCGCUCAGGGUAAGUCGGGGCCUAAGGUGAGGCCGAAAGGCGUAAUCGAUGGAUAACAGGUUGAUAUUCCUGUACCAUUUCAAUGCGUUUGAGUGAAGUAGUGACGCAGAAGGAUAGACUGAGCGUGGUUUGGUAGUCCGCGUUCAAGGAGUUAGGGAGUGAGAUAGGCAAAUCCGUCUCACAUAAUCCUGAGCUCUGAUGAGGAGGCGUAAGCCGAAGCAGUUGAUUCCCAGCUGCCAAGAAAAGCUGCUAGCGAGUAUUGAAAUGCCCGUACUAAAACCGCCACAGGUAGGCGAGGAGAGAAUCCUAAGGCGCGCGAGAGAACCCUUGUUAAGGAACUCGGCAAAAUGACUCCGUAACUUCGGGAGAAGGAGUGCCUCGUUAGGGUGCAAGCCCGAGGAGGUCGCAGAUAAGAGGCCCAGGCGACUGUUUAACAAAAACACAGGUCUCUGCUAAGUGGGAACACGAAGUAUAGGGGCUGACACCUGCCCAAUGCCGGAAGGUUAAGGGGAUGCGUUAGCGUAAGCGAAGCGUUGAACUGAAGCCCCGGUCAAUGGCGGCCGUAACUAUAACGGUCCUAAGGUAGCGAAAUUCCUUGUCGGGUAAG
rnacentral:rRNA from 1 species